rnacentral:rRNA from 1 species
CAUGCAAGUCGAGGGGUAUAGUAGCAAUACUGGAGACCGGCGCACGGGUGCGUAACGCGUAUGCAAUCUACCUUUUACAGAGGGAUAGCCCAGAGAAAUUUGGAUUAAUACCUCAUAGUAUAUUUGAGUGGCAUCACUUGAUUAUUAAAGUUCCAACGGUAAAAGAUGAGCAUGCGUCCUAUUAGCUAGAUGGUGAGGUAACGGCUUACCAUGGCUACGAUAGGUAGGGGUCCUGAGAGGGAGAUCCCCCACACUGGUACUGAGACACGGACCAGACUCCUACGGGAGGCAGCAGUGAGGAAUAUUGGACAAUGGGCGCAAGCCUGAUCCAGCCAUGCCGCGUGCAGGAAGACGGUCCUAUGGAUUGUAAACUGCUUUUGUACAGGAAGAAACAUCUCUACGUGUAGGGACUUGACGGUACUGUAAGAAUAAGGAUCGGCUAACUCCGUGCCAGCAGCCGCGGUAAUACGGAGGAUCCAAGCGUUAUCCGGAAUCAUUGGGUUUAAAGGGUCCGUAGGCGGUUUGGUAAGUCAGUGGUGAAAGCCCAUCGCUCAACGGUGGAACGGCCAUUGAUACUGCCAGACUUGAAUUAUUAGGAAGUAACUAGAAUAUGUAGUGUAGCGGUGAAAUGCUUAGAGAUUACAUGGAAUACCAAUUGCGAAGGCAGGUUACUACUAAUGGAUUGACGCUGAUGGACGAAAGCGUGGGGAGCGAACAGGAUUAGAUACCCUGGUAGUCCACGCCGUAAACGAUGGAUACUAGCUGUUCGGAGCAAUCUGAGUGGCUAAGCGAAAGUGAUAAGUAUCCCACCUGGGGAGUACGUUCGCAAGAAUGAAACUCAAA